UACAGAGGGUGCGAGCGUUAAUCGGAAUUACUGGGCGUAAAGCGUGCGUAUGCGGUUAUUUAAGUCGGAUGUGAAAGCCCCGGGCUCAACCUGGGAAUUGCAUUCGAGACUGAAUAGCUAGGGUGCGGUAGAGGGAAGCGGAAUUUCCGGUGUAGCGGUGAAAUGCGUAGAUAUCGGAAGGAACAUCAGUGGCGAAAGCGGCUUCCUGGACCAGCACCGACGUUCAGGCACGAAAGCGUGGGGAGCAAACAGG
rnacentral:rRNA from 1 species